rnacentral:rRNA from 1 species
CGACGAUUAACUUUUCUUCGGAAAGAUAUAAAGUGGCGUACGGGUGAGUAACACGUAGGUAAUGUACCUUUGGGUGGGGAAUAACUUAGGGAAACUUAAGCUAAUACCGCAUAAUGCAGCGGCUCGACAUCGAGACAGUUGUUAAAGGAGUAAUCCGCCUGAAGAGCAGCCUGCGGCAGAUUAGCUUGUUGGUAAGGUAAUGGCUUACCAAGGCUACGAUCUGUAACCGACCUGAGAGGGUGGUCGGUCACACUGACACUGAAUAACGGGUCAGACUCCUACGGGAGGCAGCAGUCGGGAAUUUUGGGCAAUGGGCGAAAGCCUGACCCAGCAACGCCGCGUGAAGGAUGAAGUCUUUCGGGAUGUAAACUUCGUAAGAAUAGGAAGAAUAAAUGACGGUACUAUUUGUAAGGUCCGGCUAACUACGUGCCAGCAGCCGCGGUAAUACGUAGGGACCAAGCGUUGUUCGGAUUUACUGGGCGUAAAGGGCGCGUAGGCGGCGUGGUAAGUCACUUGUGAAAUCUCCGAGCUUAACUCGGAACGGUCAAGUGAUACUGCUGUGCUAGAGUACAGAAGGGGCAAUCGGAAUUCUUGGUGUAGCGGUGAAAUGCGUAGAUAUCAAGAGGAACACCUGAGGUGAAGACGGGUUGCUGGGCUGAUACUGACGCUGAGGCGCGAAAGCUAGGGUAGCAAACGGGAUUAGAUACCCCGGUAGUCCUAGCCCUAAACGAUGAAUGCUUGGUGUCUGGAGUGUUA